GUUGCGAAAAUUCGCCAUUUCGUCACAACACAACACUUUGAAAUUGAGCAAAACACUUGUGAUGGCGUCGCGGUGCGAAAUGAAUGUAACCUAAUAUUCGAGGGACCCGCAAAUACGGCGCUCACUUGUCUUGAAGACGUAA
ensembl:ncRNA C09D8.13 ncRNA